AAGACAAGAGAUGCUCUGACUAGCCAAGAAGACUGCCUGGAACCAACCAGUUCGACUAUUGUGAUGAGCUUUCGAACAUCGACUCGGUGAUGCAUGGAGGAAUCAAGUUCGGAGCAGGCAGGUCAUUCUUGGCUAUCAAAACAAGGCUCUCGUCC
rfam:Eucalyptus grandis cultivar BRASTZ1 unplaced genomic scaffold scaffold_9, whole genome shotgun sequence.